rnacentral:rRNA from 1 species
AGCGAACGCUGGCGGCAGGCCUAACACAUGCAAGUCGAACGGACCCUUCGGGGUUAGUGGCGGACGGGUGAGUAACACGUGGGAACGUGCCUUUAGGUUCGGAAUAGCUCCUGGAAACGGGUGGUAAUGCCGAAUGUGCCCUUCGGGGGAAAGAUUUAUCGCCUUUAGAGCGGCCCGCGUCUGAUUAGCUAGUUGGUGAGGUAAUGGCUCACCAAGGCGACGAUCAGUAGCUGGUCUGAGAGGAUGACCAGCCACAUUGGGACUGAGACACGGCGCAAACUCCUACGGGAGGCAGCAGUGGGGAAUCUUGCGCAAUGGGCGAAAGCCUGACGCAGCCAUGCCGCGUGGAUGAUGAAGGUCUUAGGAUUGUAAAAUCCUUUCACCGGUGAAGAUAAUGACUGUAGUCGGAGAAGAAGCCCCGGCUAACUUCGUGCCAGCAGCCGCAGUAAAAC